rnacentral:guide_RNA from 1 species
ACAUGUAACUGGCAAUCGUGGAUGAAGUAUAGUGAUAUGAAGUGAAUAU